GAUGAACGCUGGCGGCGUGCCUAAUACAUGCAAGUCGAGCGAACGGACGAGAAGCUUGCUUCACUGAUGUUAGCGGCGGACGGGUGAGUAACACGUGGAUAACCUACCUAUAAGACUGGGAUAACUUCGGGAAAACGGAGCUAAUACCGGAUAAUAUUUUGAACCGCAUGGUUCAAAAGUGAAAGACGGUCUUGCUGUCCCUUAUAGAUGGAUCCGCGCUGCAUUAGCUAGUUGGUAAGGUAACGGCUUACCAAGGCAACGAUGCAUAGCCGACCUGAGAGGGUGAUCGGCCACACUGGAACGGAGACACGGUCCAGACUCCUACGGGAGGCAGCAGUAGGGAAUCGUCCGCAAUGGGCGAAAGCCUGACGGAGCAACGCCGCGUGAGUGAUGAAGGUCUUCGGAUCGUAAAACGCUGUUAUUAGGGAAGAACAUAUGUGUAAGUAACUGUGCACAUCUUGACGGUACCUAAUCAGAAAGCCACGGCUAACUACGUG
rnacentral:rRNA from 1 species